rnacentral:rRNA from 1 species
AUUGAACGCUGGCGGCAGGCCUAACACAUGCAAGUCGAGCGAGCGGCGGACGGGUGAGUAAUGUAUGGGGACUGCCCGAUAGAGGGGGAUAACUACUGGAAACGGUAGCUAAUACCGCAUACUAUCGGAUAACCCAUAUGGGAUUAGCUAGUGGGUGAGGUAAUGGCUCACUUAGGCGACGAUCCCUUGCUGGUCUGAGAGGAUGAUCAGCCACACUGGGACUGAGACACGGCCCAGACUCCUGCGGAGGCAGCAGUGGGGAAUAUUGGACAAUGGGCGCAAGCCUGAUCCAGCCAUGCCGCGUGUAUGAAGAAGGCCCUCGGGUUGUAAAGUACUGUCAGUCGGAAGGCGUUACCGACAGAAGAAGCACCGGCUAACUCCGUGCCAGCAGCCGCGGUAAUUC